GAUGAAGAACGCAGCGAAAUGCGAUACGUAAUGUGAAUUGCAGAAUUCAGUGAAUCAUCGAGUCUUUGAACGCACAUUGCGCCCCCUGGUAUUCCGGGGGGCAUGCCUGUCCGAGCGUCAUUGCAGCCCUCAAGCACGGCUUGUGUGUUGGGCCUCCGUCCUCCUCCCGGGGGACGGGCCCGAAAGGCAGCGGCGGCACCGCGUCCGGUCCUCGAGCGUAUGGGGCUUCGUCACCCGCUCUUGUAGGCCCGGCCGGCGCUUGCCGACACAUCAAUCUUUUUUCCAGGUUGACCUCGGAUCAGGUAGGGAUACCCGCUGAACUUAAGCAUAUCAAUAAGCGGAGGA
rnacentral:misc_RNA from 1 species